rnacentral:rRNA from 1 species
UACGUAGGGUGCGAGCGUUGUCCGGAAUUACUGGGCGUAAAGCGUGCGCAGGCGGUUUUGUAAGUCUGUCGUGAAAUCCCCGGGCUCAACCUGGGAAUUGCGAUGGAGACUGCAAGGCUAGAAUCUGGCAGAGGGGGGUAGAAUUCCACGUGUAGCAGUGAAAUGCGUAGAGAUGUGGAGGAACACCGAUGGCGAAGGCAGCCCCCUGGGUCAAGAUUGACGCUCAUGCACGAAAGCGUGGGGAGCAAACAGG